rnacentral:lncRNA from 1 species
GGACCCCCGGGCGGGCUCCGGGGGCUCUUCGCUGGGCUGUGGAGGAAAGCCGUGAAAGGAGUGUGCGGCUCUGUCCUCGCUACGGUUACUCCGCCCGCACACGGUGGGGGUCGCGCCGCGCCUCGUUUCUUUAAUUCCUGGCAGACGGUGCCGAGAUUGUGGACGGAGACGCGCUGGGGCAGAGACUAUGUGAUCGCGUCGGUAUCUGAGUAGAGGACUUCGCUUCGGGGAGGGAAGAGGAGGGAUCGGCGCGCUCCUCCGCGGCG